rnacentral:siRNA from 1 species
AUUGGGGCAUAUAUUAGAUUA